rnacentral:guide_RNA from 1 species
AUAUAACAAAACCAACAAUCAAAUAUAUGUAAAAAUUGGACGUAUAAU